GACUCUUCACAUAAAACGAAUAAUAGACUCCUCUCCGAUUCAUGGGGAACUUCCCUCCUAGAGGACGAUGUGGCCUGGGAAGAACUUUUCUGCUCUGCUCCCUCUGAGCUAGGAUUCAUUAAGGACAAUACCCGCGCUUCAACAUCCCCGAGGACUGUUCACCUAAAGACUGUAAAUGGUGAUGGCAGAAAGGCCAGAGCAAUCUCUGAUAAUCCUGUUACAGUUCCUGUGUAUGCAAACCCUAGGCCUGGUCGCUCUGGCACUGUUUUAUCUGAGUCUGCUCCUUCGUCCACCUGUCAGCCUGUUCCAGUUUCUUUAGCUCAGGCCACUGUUAAAAAUACCCAGUCACCUAAACCAGUCAGUAUUCCCACUUCCAUCAGUCAGUCUACACCCGCACCUGUGCCAGCUCCCAGGAGGAGGGCAGCUGCGACCCAGCCUACCUCCGCACCCGCUCCUGUUUCUCGGGUGGGGGUGACUGGUGUCCAGCCACCUCCCGUGCCUGUCCCGGCGCCUAGGCUGAAGGCAGCUAGAACCCAGCCUGACCUCCCUAGAGUCUCGGAAGAGCUAGCCUCUCCAUCUGCUGUUUCACCUCUUCAUCCUGAUCCAGCCUUUCACGCCCUCACAUUAUCACUGGUUAAGCUAGCUGAGGUUUCUCCUGCUCAGGCACCAGCUUUACUAGCCCAGGCUAUAGCUUUAUCUCCCUCACUAGCACAGUCUAUAGCUCAACCCCCAGCCACACCAACCACAGCUCCGUCGUCAGCCUCACCCACCUCUAUUCAUCCCUUAGCAUCCCCACUCCAGUCAGCUCCCUCUCCUGCUGUUCAGCCUCCAGCCCAGUCAGCUCCCUCUCCUGCUGUUCAGCCUCCAGCCCAGUCAGCUCCCUCUCCUGCUGUUCAGCCUCCAGCCCAGUCACCUGCUCUCGUCCAGUCACCUGUAGUUCAGUCACCUGCUCCACUCCAGUCAGUAGCACAGCCUGCUCCACUCCAGUCAGUAGUCCAGCCUCCUGUCCAGCCUGCUCCUGUAGCUCAGGCACCCGUAGCGCAGUCAGCCCCUGUCCAGUCAGCCCCUGUCCAGUCAGCCCUUGUCCAGUCAGCCCCUGUCCAACCGCCUCCAGUCCAGUCUGUAGUCCAGCCCUCUCCUGUCCAGUCUGUAGUCCAGCCCUCUCCUGUCCAGUCUGUAGUCCAGCCCUCUCCUGUCCUCUCUGUAGUCCAGCCCUCUCCUGUCCUCCAGUCCUCUCCUGUAGUUAAGUCUCCUUCUGUCCUCCAGUCCUCUCCUGUAGUUAAGUCUCCUUCUGUCCUCCAGUCCCCUCCUGUAGUUAAGUCUCCUUCUGUCCUCCAGUCCCCCAUUCUCCAGUCACCUCCUGUCCAGUCAGUCCAGUCGCCCCCCGUAGCUCAGUGCCCUGCUCCCCAGUUGCCUCCUGUCACCCAGUCACCUGUCCUCCAGCCUGUCCAGUCAGUUCAGUCUGUCGUCCAGCAUCCUGUUAGUCAGUCAUCCGUUCUCUCACCGUCUGUAGCCCACUCUCCUGUUCAGUUCCCAGACCUGCAGCCACAGCAUCCAGAGCCAGCUGUGAGCUCUCCGGCACCUCAGCCAGGGGUUUCCGCACCCGCUGGCCCGGCCGCACCUCAGCCAGGGGUUUCCGCACCCGCUGGCCCGGCCGCACCUCAGCCAGGGGUUUCCGCACCCGCUGGCCCGGCCGCACCUCAGCCAGAGGCUUCCGCGCCUACUGGCCCUGCCUGUCUCCAGCCAGAGGCUUCCGCGCCUACUGGCCCUGCCUGUCUCCAGCCAGAGGCUUCCGCGCCUACUGGCCCUGCCUGUCUCCAGCCAGAGGCUUCCGCGCCUACUGGCCCUGCCUGUCUCCAGCCAGAGGCUUCCGCGCCUACUGGCCCUGCCUGUCUCCAGCCAGAGGCUUCCGCGCCUACUGGCCCUGCCUGUCUCCAGCCAGAGGUUUCCCCGCCUACUGGCCCUGCCUGUCUCCAGCCAGAGGUUUCCACGCCUACUGGCCCUGCCUGUCUCCAGCCAGAGGUUUCCACGCCUACUGGCCCUGCCUGUCUCCAGCCAGAGGCUUCCGCGCCUGCUGACUCUGCAGGUGUUGCUUUGCCCUCUGCUGCUGCUACGUCGCCUGGUCCGGCCUCGGCCUCUGCUGCUGCUACGUCACCUGGUCCGGCCUCCGCUUCAGCUUCUGCGUCGCCUGGUCCGGCCUCCGCUUCGGCUUCUGCGUCGCCUGGUCCGGCCUCCGCUUCGGCUUCUGCGCCGCCUGGUCCGGCCUCCGCUUCGGCUUCUGAUUCGCCUUCUGCCUGGGCUUCUGAUUCGCCUUCUGCUUGGGCUUCUGAUUCGCCUUCUGCCUGGGCUUCUGAUUCGCCUUCUGCCUGGGCUUCUGAUUCGCCUUCUGCCUGGGCUUCUGAUUCGCCUUCUGCCUCGCCUGGCCCGGCCUCGGCCUCAGCUUCAUCCUCUCCUUCGCCUGGCCGCCGCCUUCCUCGCGGCCGCCCACCGGACCGGCUUCAGCGUCGCCGCCUUCCUCGCGGCCGCCCACCGGACCGGCUUCAGCGUCGCCGCCUUCCUCGCGGCCGCCCACCGGACCGGCUUCAGCGUCGCCGCCGUCUUCCUCGCGGCCGCCACCGGACCGGCUUCAGCGUCGCCGCCGCCUUCCUCGCGGCCGCCCACCUGACCUGUCCAGGCUCAGCCACUGGCCGCGUGGCCGCCCGCCUGAACUGUCCGGGCUCAGCCACUGGCCGCGUGGCCGCCCGCCUGAACUGUCCGGGCUCAGCCACUGGCCGCGUGGCCGCCCACCUGAACUGUUUUUGUCUCGGACUCCGUCCCUCCGUCCUGGGCCCCUCCGCCCUCCCUGUUCUGGUUUUUCGUUCUUUUGGCCGUCGGGUGCCGGCCUUUGAAGGGGGGGGUCCUGUCAGGGUUUCUGGGUCAUUGACCCAGUAUUCUUAG
ensembl:lncRNA